UGGGGAAUUUUGCACAAUGGGGGAAACCCUGAUGCAGCGACGCCGCGUGAUUUAGAAGGCCUUCGGGUUGUAAAAAUCUUUUCUAUGGGAAGAAAAUGACAGUACCAUAGGAAUAAGGACCGGCUAAUUACGUGCCAGCAGCCGCGGUAAUACGUAAGGUCCGAGCGUUGUCCGGAAUCAUUGGGCGUAAGGGUACGUAGGCGGGUAAGCAAGUUAGAAGUGAAAUCCUAUAGCUCAACUAUAGUAAGCUUUUAAAACUGCUCAUCUUGAGGUAUGGAAGGGAAAGUGGAAUUCCUAGUGUAGCGGUGAAAUGCGCAGAUAUUAGGAAGAAUACCGGUGGCGAAGGCGGCUUUCUGGCCAUAACCUGACGCUGAGGUACGAAAGCGUGGGGAGCAAACAGG
rnacentral:rRNA from 1 species